AUUUUUUCCAUUUUAUUUACAAAAUUUAAAACGUGCAUAAAAAUAAGAGUCAUCUUACUAAAUUCACGACGUUCAUAACAUAGAUGGACUGUGUGAUUCAAGUAUCUGAUGAGAUUCACGAUGAGUCACUAUCUACUUUUACUACUGAAAAAGCGGAUCCUUCUUUGGAAAUUCGUGAAGCAUAUGUUAGCGUAGCAUUAUUCAAAGAGUCUACGAUUAAGUGCGUGCUAGUUUUGCCGAAAGUGAAGUAACGAUUGAAAUAGAUUUUUAGUUGAACUAGAGUAUAUAUGUGUUAAUGAAAAAUUUAAAAUCUUUAAUGUUUAUUUAUUAUUUAUUUUAUUUUAUUUAAUUUAUUUAAUGUAUUAUUAUUUAUUUAAUAUUUCUUUUUNUU
rnacentral:lncRNA from 1 species